ACAGCUAUUUAUGGGUGCUGCAGAUCCAAACUCAAAGCCUGAAAGAGAUCUCCAUGCUACCACUACAUAACAAAGAACAUCAAGAAUUCUUGGUGAAGAUUCAUGAUUCUUCUAUGGACAUCCAACUCUUUGAAUAUUAAUUCAGAAGCUAUCUUUAACCGAAUCAUCCUAGGUCAUAAGUCUUCUGUUCUGAGCUGCCUGGACAUAAACCUCAUCCUCAUCUCCAUGAUGACAGUUAUCCUCUCACAGAAGAAAAAUAUUUGUCAAAUUUUGGAGGCAUCAAAGCAAAAGCAGCAUUCAAAGCCUAGCCCGCAGCAAGCAGAGGAAUUACUCUGUUAUUAUAAAGAAAAGAAUUCUGGAAAACCUAAGCAUCAAUGCUUCUUUAUACUGUUCUACAUU